rnacentral:rRNA from 1 species
GACGAACGCUGGCGGCGUGCUUAACACAUGCAAGUCGAACGGUGAUGCUCCAGCUUGCUGGAGUGGAUCAGUGGCGAACGGGUGAGUAACACGUGAGCAACCUGCCCCAGACUCUGGAAUAAGCGCUGGAAACGGCGUCUAAUACUGGAUACGAAACUGGCCCGCAUGGGCAUGGUUUGGAAAGUUAUUCGGUUUGGGAUGGGCUCGCGGCCUAUCAGCUUGUUGGUGAGGUAAUGGCUCACCAAGGCGACGACGGGUAGCCGGCCUGAGAGGGCGACCGGCCACAAUGGGACUGAGACACGGCCCAGACGGCUACGGGAGGCAGCAGUGGGGAAUAUUGCACAAUGGGCGAAAGCCUGAUGCAGCGACGCCGCGUGAGGGAUGACGGCCUUCGGGUUGUAAACCUCUUUCAGCAGGGAAGAAGCGAAAGUGACGGUACCUGCAGAAGAAGCACCGGCUAACUACGUG